rnacentral:rRNA from 1 species
UACGUAGGGACCAAGCGUUGUCCGGAAUCAUUGGGCGUAAAGAGCGUGUAGGCGGCUUGUUAAGUCUUGCGUGAAAUCUCGGGGCUCAACCCCGAGCGGUCGUGAGAAACUGGCAGGCUAGAGUGCGGGAGAGGAGAGUGGAAUUCCUGGUGUAGCGGUGAAAUGCGCAGAUAUCAGGAAGAACACCCGUGGCGAAGGCGGCUCUCUGGAACGCAACUGACGCUGAGACGCGAAGGCCAGGGGAGCAAACGGG